rnacentral:rRNA from 1 species
AUUGAACGCUGGCGGUAUGCCUUACACAUGCAAGUCGAACGGCAGCGGACCUUCGGGUGCCGGCGAGUGGCGAACGGGUGAGUAAUAUAUCGGAACGUACCUUUCAGUGGGGGAUAACGUAGCGAAAGUUACGCUAAUACCGCAUAUUCUGUGAGCAGGAAAGCAGGGGAUCGCAAGACCUUGCGCUGAUUGAGCGGCCGAUAUCAGAUUAGCUAGUUGGUGAGGUAAAGGCUCACCAAGGCGACGAUCUGUAGCGGGUCUGAGAGGAUGAUCCGCCACACUGGAACUGAGACACGGUCCAGACUCCUACGGGAGGCAGCAGUGGGGAAUAUUGCGCAAUGGGCGAAAGCCUGACGCAGCCAUACCGCGUGUGUGAAGAAGGCCUCGG